rnacentral:rRNA from 1 species
UACGUAGGGUGCGAGCGUUAAUCGGAAUUACUGGGCGUAAAGCGUGCGCAGGCGGUUCGUUAUGUCCCGAUGUGAAAGCCCCGAGCUCAACUUGGGAAUGGCAUUGGAAACUGGCGGGCUGGAGUGUGGCAGAGGGGGUGGAAUUCCACGUGUAGCAGUGAAAUGCGUAGAGAUGUGGAGGAACACCGAUGGCGAAGGCAGCCCCCUGGGCCAACACUGACGCUCAGGCACGAAAGCGUGGGGAGCAAACAGG